rnacentral:rRNA from 1 species
UACGUAGGGGGCAAGCGUUGUCCGGAAUCAUUGGGCGUAAAGAGCGUGUAGGCGGCUCGAUAAGUCUGCUGUGAAAGUCCGGGGCUCAACCCCGGGAGGCGGGCGGAUACUGUCGGGCUAGAGUCCGGAAGAGGCGAGUGGAAUUCCUGGUGUAGCGGUGAAAUGCGCAGAUAUCAGGAGGAACACCAAUGGCGAAGGCAGCUCGCUGGGACGGUACUGACGCUGAGGCGCGAAAGCGUGGGGAGCAAACAGG